rnacentral:rRNA from 1 species
UACGUAGGGGGCAAGCGUUGUCCGGAAUCAUUGGGCUUAAAGAGCGUGUAGGCGGUCCGGUAAGUCGGCUGUUAAAGUCCAGGGCUCAACCCUGGGAUGCCGGUCGAUACUGCCGGACUAGAGUCCGGAAGAGGCGAGUGGAAUUCCUGGUGUAGCGGUGAAAUGCGCAGAUAUCAGGAGGAACACCGAUUGCGAAGGCAGCUCGCUGGGACGUUACUGACGCUGAGACGCGAAAGCGUGGGGAGCAAACAGG